UACGGGGGGGGCAAGCGUUGUUCGGAAUUACUGGGCGUAAAGGGCUCGUAGGCGGCCAACUAAGUCAGACGUGAAAUCCCUCGGCUUAACCGGGGAACUGCGUCUGAUACUGGAUGGCUUGAGUUUGGGAGAGGGAUGCGGAAUUCCAGGUGUAGCGGUGAAAUGCGUAGAUAUCUGGAGGAACACCGAUGGCGAAGGCAGCCUCCUGGGCUAGUACUGACGCUCAUGCACGAAAGCGUGGGGAGCAAACAGG
rnacentral:rRNA from 1 species